rnacentral:rRNA from 1 species
AACGUACGCUGGCGGCACGCCUAACACAUGCAAGUCGAACGAAGUAGCAAUACUUAGUGGCAGACGGGUGAGUAACAUGUGGGUAUCUGCCCUUUGGCCUGGAAUAACACGAGGAAACUUGUGCUAAUACCGGAUAAGUCUUUACGAAGAAAGCUUUAUGCACCAUUGGAUGAGCCCGCACUUGAUUAGUUUGUUGGUGGGGUAAUGGCCUACCAAGACUGUGAUCAAUAGCUGAUUUGAGAGGAUGAUCAGCCACAUUGGGACUGAGACACGGCCCAAACUCCUACGGGAGGCAGCAGUGGGGAAUCUUGCACAAUGGAGGAAACUCUGAUGCAGCGAUGCCGCGUGAGUGAAGAAGGCCCUUGGGUUGUAAAGCUCUUUCGUCGGGGAAGAAAAUGACUGUACCCGAAUAAGAAGGUCCGGCUAACUUCGUGCCAGCAGCCGCGGUAAUACGAAGGGACCUAGCGUAGUUCGGAAUUACUGGGCUUAAAGAGUUCGUAGGUGGUUGAAAAAGUUAGUGGUGAAAUCCCAGAGCUUAACUCUGGAACUGCCAUUAAAACUUUUUAGCUAGAGUAUGAUAGAGGAAAGCAGAAUUUCUAGUGUAGAGGUGAAAUUCGUAGAUAUUAGAAAGAAUACCAAUUGCGAAGGCAGCUUUCUGGAUCAUUACUGACACUGAGGAACGAAAGCAUGGGUAGCGAAGAGGAUUAGAUACCCUCGUGGUCCAUGCCGUAAACGAUGUGUGUUAGACGUUGGAAAUUUAUUUUCAGUGUCGCAGCGAAAGCGAUAAACACACCGCCUGGGGAGUACGACCGCAAGGUUAAAACUCAAAUGAAUUGACGGGGACCCGCACAAGUAGUGGAGCAUGUGGUUUAAUUCGAAGAUACGCGCAGAACCUUACCAACACUUGACAUGUUCGUCGCGACUCUAAGAGAUUAGAGUUUUCGGUUCGGCCGGACGAAACACAGGUGCUGCAUGGCUGUCGUCAGCUCGUGUCGUGAGAUGUUGGGUUAAGUCCCGCAACGAGCGCAACCCUCACUUUUAGUUGCCAUCAUUAAGUUGGGCACUCUGAAAGAACUGCCAGUGAUAAGCUGGAGGAAGGUGGGGAUGACGUCAAGUCCUCAUGGCCCUUACGUGUUGGGCUACACACGUGCUACAAUGGUAUCUACAACAGGAAGCAAGACUGCGAGGUCAAGCAAAUCCUUAAAAGAUACCUCAGUUCGGAUUGCACUCUGCAACUCGAGUGCAUGAAGCUGGAAUUACUAGUAAUCGUGGAUCAGCGUGCCACGGUGAAUGCGUUCCCGGGUCU